UACGUAGGGCGCAAGCGUUGUCCGGAAUUAUUGGGCGUAAAGAGCUCGUAGGCGGCUUGUUGCGUCCGCUGUGAAAUCCCGAGGCUCAACCUCGGGUCUGCAGUCGAUACGGGCGGACUGGAGUUCGGCAGGGGAGACUGGAAUUCCUGGUGUAGCGGUGAAAUGCGCAGAUAUCAGGAGGAACACCGGUGGCGAAGGCGGGUCUCUGGGCCGAUACUGACGCUGAGGAGCGAAAGCGUGGGGAGCGAACAGG
rnacentral:rRNA from 1 species